GAGUAUAACUCAAUACGGUUUCUUUUGCACACAGAUCCUGGGCCGAACCUACUUUAACUUUGUCCUCCCUCCAAUUUAUUUUGUUGUUUGAGACCCGGGAACGACCAGCGAGCGUAAUGGCGGAGGAGAACGACACGUGGAGACCAUCAAGCCUUUGCUUCGAUUGUAAGCCCACAGAAUCGCAGCUCUACAAACACUCUUUUAUUUGUGCAAUACAACACGAAGAUAUCAAAAAGGGACCCAACAAAGGAUAUGACAACGCUUUUUUUUAUAAGCAAUGGUAAUAAAAGCGACGUAAAAGGGACAGACAUUGUAAGUGAAGUAGGAUGUUGGAGGAUCGGGAAAUGUAGACUUGUGGCUUGAUGCAGGAGUAAUCAAAUGUAAUAAAACAACCCAGCCAAAGAAAGCAGGCUCGAAGUGCUUCGACAACAAUGAGGGCACCCACGUGUGCACAAUGAGAGAAAGUGUGUAUCUUUCGGGGACGGCGCUACUGUGGUGCAGUAUACCUACAGAAACGAGAGCUGAGCCGAAGUGGACACAAAGAAAAAGCGAGUUCCGCGCAAUGGUACAAACUUCUGAAAUAACUUCAACCCAGACAGGAGGGACGCUUUUAUGAGGUGGCCUCCUGUAGCGCUUCAUCUGUUACCGAGCGGAAAGCUGACCAAUAAGCCCCCGCAUACUACCUGAAGGCAUCAAGUCGGCAGGAACGAGACUCUCGCUAUGAAUGAUGA